rnacentral:rRNA from 1 species
UACGAAGGGGGCUAGCGUUGCUCGGAAUCACUGGGCGUAAAGGGUGCGUAGGUGGCGCCGUAAGUCGGGUGUGAAAUUUCGGAGCUUAACUCCGAAACUGCAUUCGAUACUGCGGUGCUUGAGGACUGGAGAGGAGACUGGAAUUUACGGUGUAGCAGUGAAAUGCGUAGAGAUCGUAAGGAAGACCAGUGGCGAAGGCGGGUCUCUGGACAGUUCCUGACACUGAUGCACGAAGGCCAGGGGAGCAAACGGG